AACCCGUCAGUGGUUUUUGCCUUUGAAGACUGUCCUUAUUGUCAUAACGGGCCCUCUCUAUGACGUUGGGCAAGUGUCCCCUUUCUCGAGGCUUCCGCUGUCCCAUCUACAAGUGGAGGACCCUUUGUCUUCACAGCCUCCUCCCUGCCUGGAGCGCAGAACCUCGGGUGGUCUACCUGCAGCGGAAGCAAUCUGAGAAGCUCCCACAGGUCCUGUCCUCAGACACUUAGUGAAUUUUUCCGCCUGCAUGGUGCCCUCUCUGUGCUGACCUCAGCCCAGUGGGAGACAUGGUGGACUAGUAAUGACAUCUGCUCAGAGCCCUCCAACCUCAUUUGAGACACUGAGGAGCAAUAUUGUGAAACUGGCAACUCGUUCAUAAUUGUUCUGAAGCUGUAGAAAAAUGCAAGUGGGGCACCUGUACCAAUAUGAAACCAUACAAAUUCAGUGGAGCUCAAACAAAGAAAAAUGAAAAGAAAAAAAGAGGAGGCAAUCAAAAUAACGUCUGGAUGUAUUUAAAAUAUGUAAUGCAUUCAAAAUCAUGUGUAGUUAACGAAAAUUCUGAAGAAAUACUAACUAGCAUAUCUAGUGCAUCUAUAUGUUAUUGUUAUUCAUUGCAUUUCAUGACUUUUAUAAAGUAA